GCUUUUCACAGACAGAUAUUGUGACUCACAUAAACCGCCUGCCCCAGACUCCCCACCCCCUGAAGAGGGAGGGUGUGCUGGAAAGAAGCCAGAGUGGGCGGCUCAGAGCACAAAGUAACCCGAGUCCAGUGUUCUAGGAUAUACAGCAGCCAGGGUCAUGGCCAGGGUCAGGCCAUAUUCUCCAGGGAACAGAAACAACCAGAUCCACAGUAUCUGAACCAGGAGAGCCAAGGUGAAGGCGGGGAGAGCAAAGCCCCAUCUCCCACAGGGCACACAGGAGCAACAGCCAACCACGGAGCCAUCGCAUCAAAAGCCUCCGGCUGAGGAGGCCUGAGCCUCCAGGAGAGGGUGCAGCGGACAGCAGGCCUUGGAGAAGAAUGGUGCAGCCCCAGGGUAACCUCUGUGGCUCCGCUGCCUCUGUGCGGAGGCAGAGCACAAAGCAGGAAGAGCAGGCUCAGGACUCUCACAUCUCUGCCUCCCUAACACCGGCUUGCACAAAAUCAGCCUGGUUGCCGGCCCAAGACCUGCAUCAGAUCCAGAGCCAACGCCCAGCAAGGAGGGCAGAGGCCCAGGAGUCGCCCCCCGGCCCUGAGGAGCCAGCGACAGCGGACGGAUGGCUCCCGAGGGUGGGAGCCGGGCUUCUCUAUCGCUGUGGCUCCCCGUGGACCAUCUCCAGUAAAUGACCCCACACCCAGGAGCACACAGACAGCACAAACUGGACUCCAGGGGUUAUCAAAACAGCACAAUAUAGGACAUGAAGUUAGGGAGAGGGAGGUGGGGUGCGUCUUGGAGCAGUCAGGGAGAGGCGUGUAGAGUGGCUAAGAUCAGAAUACAUUUUAGGAAAUUUUAUUUUAAAAGGAAAAAAAAUUCAACUUCCAAUCUACUUGGCAAAAUGGUCAAAGACAUGGAUGGAGACUACACUUGACCCUCUGCGCUUGAAGGCUGGUUGAGUCUGCCUCUGUGGCCCCAGAGUGAGGACCAUGUCGCCACCUGCACAUCCGUCUUCUGAGUACUAGAGGCAGUGAAACAUCAACACACAGUCAGCGCAGUAGAACGGCCGCACCAGCACAGGGAGACAACACCCGAAAGACUCAGACGUACAGAAAGAAUGCCACGUCACACUGCCACCCUUGACUAAGUAUAAUGAAGUCACUGCCUCUCAAAAGCCAUGGAUGUGGAGGCUGGAGGGACGGCUCAGCAGUUAAGAGCACUAGUUGCCCCUUCCGAGGACCUGGGUUCAAUUCCCAGCACCCCGCGUGGCAGCUCACAACCAUCUACAACUCCAGUUCCACAGGAUCUGACACCCCCUUCUGGCCUGUGCAGAUACUGCACACACACGGUGCAUAUACAAACAUACAACUAAAACACUCAUAAAGUAAAAAUAAAUUGCUAUUUAAAAAAUAA